rnacentral:rRNA from 1 species
CAGUCGCCGCGGGAAUACGUAGGUGGCAAGCGUUGUCCGGAAUUAUUGGGCGUAAAGGGCUCGCAGGCGGUUUCUUAAGUCUGAUGUGAAAGCCCCCGGCUCAACCGGGGAGGGUCAUUGGAAACUGGGAAACUUGAGUGCAGAAGAGGAGAGUGGAAUUCCACGUGUAGCGGUGAAAUGCGUAGAGAUGUGGAGGAACACCAGUGGCGAAGGCGACUCUCUGGUCUGUAACUGACGCUUAGGAGCGAAAGCGUGGGGAGCGAACAGGAUUAGAUACCCCAGUAGUCCCUGUCUCUUAUAC